CCUCCGGCGGUAGAUGGCGUCCCUGUCCAGCCUGCUUCACGGCACUGAGACAGCUGAGUCACACAUACAUUUAGACCCUGAUAAACAGAUAGUGCGAAAAAGAGCGACUAGAGUCGAGAAAUUGCCGUGAAUAUACUAAUUUUGGACCCCAGCUGCCUCUGACACCGCGUCGAAACAUGCUGACGAUAACAAUGAAGACCCUCCAACAGCAGACGUUCAAAAUAGAAAUAGACCCAGAAUUGACGGUGGAAGCCCUGAAGGAGAAAAUAGAGGCGGACAGAGGAAAAGAUGCAUUUCCUGCUGCAGGACAAAAACUCAUCUAUGCAGGCAAAAUCUUAAAUGAUGACACCCCACUGAAAGACUACAAAAUCGAUGAGAAAAACUUUGUGGUGGUCAUGGUUACGAAGCCUAAACCAGCCCCUACUCCACAAGCGGCCCCUCAGCAAACUCCCCAACCAGCUGCAGCUCGUGCACCAUCCCCAGCUUCUGGCCCAGCACAAGUGCCCUCCACACUGACACAUGCAGUGUCUGCACCCACACCGGCCCCACAGUCAGUGCCUCUCUCUGAAACCCCUUCCCCAGUCCCAGAAAACACCCCGCCGGCUUCUAUUGCUGCAACAGCAGCUCUGGACUCAAACACAGCCCCAGCCUCGGCGUCAGCUGCUACUCUAGCCUCUGACCCAGCUUCAGCUCCUGAAGCAGCCCCGGCGUCUGCCCCGUCAGACCUCCCCACCCCUGCUGCCCAGCCAGAAGAGAAGCCAAGGGAAGACCCUGAGAAUCAACCAUCUGCCACUGAACCAGUUCACUCCUUUGCUUCCAGCCUUGUUGAUGAACUGGGGCUCCUUGAAGAAGCAGCGUCAAUACUGGUGACAGGUCCAGCCUAUGAGAACCUGGUGUCAGAGAUUAUGUCUAUGGGUUAUGAGCGAGACCAGGUAGUUGCUGCACUCAGAGCCAGUUACAACAACCCAGACCGAGCAGUGGAGUAUCUACUCAUGGGUAUUCCAGCCGAGGCCAGCGAUCUGCCACCUCAGGAGCCAGUUAGACACAGUGCUCCAUCCAACCCCCCCACCUCUGCUACACAACAACCACAACAGCCCCCAGCAGUCUCAAACACAGGGCCAGUGUCUGGCAGCCAGCCUCCCCCUGCUCUAGGAGGCUCUGUGUCCACAGGGAACCCUCUGGAGUUCCUGAGGAAUCAGCCUCAGUUCCAGCAGAUGAGACAGAUCAUCCAGCAGAACCCAGCCCUCCUGCCAGCCUUGCUGCAGCAGCUGGGCAGAGACAACCCGCAGCUGCUGCAGGGGCUGGGAACCUGUAUAUUAGCUGUAUGGUGGUCUUGUGUGUGUAUUACUUGCAGCAAAUCACGCAGCACCAGGAGCGUUUUGUGCAGAUGCUGAAUGAGCCUAGAGGUGGAGACACAGGAGGGGACGGGGCUGAAGCUCAGGGGACACCACAAACCAACUACAUCCAGGUCACCCCACAGGAGAAGGAGGCCAUUGAGAGGUUAAAAGCACUGGGCUUCCCUGAAGGCUUAGUCAUCCAGGCUUACUUCGCCUGCGAGAAGAAUGAGAAUCUGGCCGCUAACUUCCUGCUACAGCAAACAUGGGACGACGAGUAACCAAACAUCACCUGACACAUUACUGUUCAACAGAGGGCCGCAGAGUGGAUGACUUCGCUACACAAGGUCCCCCUGGGAGAAACAAGGACUGGAGAGGAAGAGGACAUUUCUUUUCACACCAUGUGACUGUGGUCUGAUGAUGGUGAUGAAGAUGAAGACACGCUGUGCUGCUUACUCUACAUUUUGCUGUGGUGAUCAUCAUAGGAGCUCACACUGAGCUGUGCCUCACUGCUGCUACAUCAUUUCUGCUGCCGCUUGUGCCGGGUGUUCACACUGAGAAAAGUCAUGCCAGAAAAUAGGUCUGCAGUCUGCACCACCAACAGGUGCCCUCUGCAGUCAGCUCACAGGUUGCUUGUAGAGCAUGUGGUAAAUGUAGACAGUUUAUUUACGACAGAGUGUAUCUGUAGUGAAUAUGUACAUGACAAAACACAUUUUCAACACGUGCAGUUGCACCCUCCAUGUUGGGUAUACCUGAAAAUGUGAUGCAGACUGGUGACUUCACUGUUUGAGAGCUAGCAUUGCUUUAUAUUAAAGUUCAGGUCGGAUCAAUUCAUUUCUUCUGCUUCUUUGAUCCUUGGAAAAAAUCCUAAUAACUCUGCAAGUUAAAUAAAAUUGCUGCUGUUUGAAUUGCUAAGAAGUAACUCAUGGGAAGUCAAAAUAAAACAUUUGUCUUUUUUUUUUUUUUUUUUACCUAGACAGUCGAAAUUUUGACUUUUAUGUUAUUAUUGACUCACCAUGAGUAUUAUUUAUAUUUAUAAUUUGCCCAACUUUUUUGUGGAAAUGGGCUUCCAAAAACAGACAAGUUUGGUCAAAUCGGUCAGCUGUAAGCAGAGAUUAACUUCACAACCAGAACCGGAUUUCAUUGCAUGUUCGGGGUUCUGGAACAUGCAAUGAAAUUGUUAUUACAAUCACAGUAUUUUAUAAUUACUUAUAAGAGUAUGUGUGUUGUGGUGUAUUUUGUGGGAGAUGAGGGUACACCGGGAUGCAGCGCUCAUCUUGAAUUGUCAUUAUGAUAUUUCACUAUGGAGGGUUUGUUUGUUUUGUUCUUUUGCAGAUGAAGGAAUUUGAAAGUUGAUUAUGAAGUACCACUAGCAUGCUUUGUGAGCUAAACUUGAGAUUUUGUAAAAAGAAUAGUUGCGUUCUUUCUCACUAUUUCCUUAGCUUGAAUGAUCAAAAAGCCCACUUCCUACUUUUAGACAAUCUGUUUCUGUUUAGUUUGUCUCAUAUCGCAUCUACUAUGCAUCUUAAAGCUGUAAGCGUCUGAGCCGUUGCUCCUUCAUGCCUUAUGGGUUGUUAAAGAUUUUCAUUUUACAAAUGGUGUUAUGGUUUACAAUAUGGUGUUAAGAGUGUCCUAGGAUUGGUGAUCAUCAUUAGUUUUAAUUAUUGAUAGUUAAUCACUUACCGUUUCAAAAGUGGACUAAAUAGAAUUUGAAUAAGUGCUUAAAGCCAAAACAAAAAGAAUAUUUUUUCAGCUUUCAGCAUGUGCUGUUUCUCCUUUCACUUCCUUUCAUCUUUAGUGUGAUUGAACUGGCAGUGACUGGAAGUUUUGCAAUACAUUGUAAAUGGAGUACGCAGAUUAUUUUUUUUGGGGGGGGGGGCACUUUACUGUGACAAAUGCUGCUCUUUAGCUGUGAGAGGUUGUUUGCAUGAGAUUGUUAGUUAUUUAUAGCUUAGCAGGGGGUUAGGAAGGGUGCCACCAAUAGUGUGGUGUUUUUCUGAGCUCAGUUUAUGUGUUCUUUUACCCAUUUUGUCCAAUGUUUUGUUUUCUUUUUGGGUUUAUAAAAAAUCUUACAACCUUAAAUACACCGGUUGGGGUUUUGCUGAAUUGUUGUUAAAACCCUGUGUUUCAGCAUUGUGUAAAAUAAAUGGCUUUUACAAAGUG